GCCAGGUGUGGUGGCAUACUCCUAUAAUCCCUGUUACUGGGAGACUGAAGCAGAGGGUUUGCAAGUUGGAGGCCAACUUGCGCAACUUUGCAAGACUCUGUCUCAA
rnacentral:sRNA from 1 species